rnacentral:rRNA from 1 species
UACAGAGGUCUCAAGCGUUGUUCGGAUUCAUUGGGCGUAAAGCGCGUGUAGGCGGCCCGGUAAGUCCGCUGUGAAAGUCCAGGGCUCAACCCUGGGAUGCCGGUGGAUACUGUCGGGCUCGAGUCCGGAAGAGGCGAGUGGAAUUCCUGGUGUAGCGGUGAAAUGCGUAGAUAUCAGGAGGAACACCGGUGGUGUAGACGGCUUUCUGGACCGUAACUGACGCUGAGACACGAAAGCGUGGGUAGCAAACAGG